rnacentral:tRNA from 1 species
GGGCGCUUAGCUCAGCUGGUCCAGAGCGCUGCCCUUACAAGGCAGAGGUCGCUGGUUCGAACCCAGCAGCGCCCA